CCUUCUGCCAAAAGCAGUUUUUAAAUCUAAUUUCUUUAACCUUCAUUCCAGCUUUUACUUUGUGUUCUUCAGCCGUGAGAAUUGUUCUAAUAUCAUGGAGCUAUGGCAGAGACUCCAUCGUUUCAGCUUUGGAAGUCAUUUCCUGGAGUAAGAGGGCAGUGCUGCAUCAGUUUAGCAAAUGGAGUCAGAACUUAAGUGGAAGGAAAAGAAAAAAACCAAACCGAAACAAGUUCAGCAAUGAACGUGGGUUUUGCGGUCCUGAUCAUGACAAUAUACACAAGUCUGACCAGGAUGUCGUGUGUAAAAUGAAGACUAAAGGAAAGGAACAAAAAAUGUCAAAAGAAGGACACAGAGGAAGAGUGAGGACUACACACUACUCUUCUAAUUUGUAAAUGUAAUUAAAACUGAUUGACCAGUUAACAUGUUUCUGACUUUCUAAUGUCAUUCUGAUGACUGAUUAAUUAAUAAAGGAGCAAUACUGCUGCCCUUUUUCA
rnacentral:lncRNA from 1 species